rnacentral:rRNA from 1 species
GUCGAGAAUAAUUCACAAUGGGGGAAACCCUGAUGGUGCAACGCCGCGUGGAGGAUGAAGGUCUUCGGAUUGUAAACUCCUGUCAUCUGGGAGUAAGACCUGACGGUGAAUAGCCGGCAGGGUUGAUAGUACCAGAAGAGGAAGGGACGGCUAACUUCGUGCCAGCAGCCGCGGUAAUACGAAGGUCCCAAGCGUUGUUCGGAAUCACUGGGCGUAAAGGGAGCGUAGGCGGCGUGGUAAGUCAGAUGUGAAAUCCCGGGGCUCAACCCCGGAACUGCAUCCGAUACUGCCAUGCUUGAGGGUUGGAGAGGUAGCUGGAAUUCUCGGUGUAGCAGUGAAAUGCGUGGAUAUCGAGAGGAACACUCGUGGCGAAGGCGAGCUACUGGACAACAUCUGACGCUGAGGCUCGAAGGCCAGGGGAGCAAAUGGGAUUAGAAACCCUAGUAGUCC